UAUUCUCAACCCCACCUUUGUGUGGGGCUUGGAUGUGGGGGUCCUGCUGGCCUAGUCAGCUCCCCUGAAAUGCAUUAGCGGAACCGUUUGCGAUCCGUCACAGGUGUGAUAAUUAUCUACGCCAGUGGGUUGCUUUCUGUCUGUUCAGCUCACAGCCGUCCCUCUGUGGACAACCGUAAUGAAC
rnacentral:misc_RNA from 1 species